GAACUCCUAAACUUGGGAUACGAAGGCAAAUGGUUUACAUGGGAGUGUGGUAGAUUGCCUUAAAAUAAUAUCCAGAAAAGGCUUGAUAGAAGGGUGGUACGAAUGGAGUGGUGGGACUUAUUUUUGAAUUCCAGACUGAAGCAUUGUGUACACUCAUUGUUUGAUAAUUGUUCCUUAUUACUUAAUACAAGUUGUCCGACUGAAAUACAGGAGCAUGGGCAACGAAACUUUAAAUUGGAGGUGACUUGGAUACUUAAUGAAUCAUGCGAAGAGGAGGUCAA
rnacentral:lncRNA from 1 species